GCGCAUCUAGCUCAGUUGGUUAGAGCACCUCAUUUACACUGAGGGGGUCAGGAGUUCGAAUCUCUUGAUGCGCA
rnacentral:tRNA from 1 species